rnacentral:rRNA from 1 species
UACAGAGGUCCCGAGCGUUGUUCGGAUUCACUGGGCGUAAAGGGUGCGUAGGUGGCAUAGAAAGUUUGAUGUGAAAGCUCAGGGCUUAACCCUGAAAUGGCAUUGAAUACUGCUGUGCUGGAGGUUUGGAGGGGGACUGGAAUUCUUGGUGUAGCAGUGAAAUGCGUAGAUAUCAAGAGGAACACCAGUGGCGAAGGCGAGUCCCUGGACAACACCUGACACUGAGGCACGAAAGCUAGGGGAGCAAACAGG